rnacentral:rRNA from 1 species
GACGAACGCUGGCGGCGUGCCUAAUACAUGCAAGUCGAGCGGACGAAUCGAAAGCUUGCUUUUGAUUCGUUAGCGGCGGACGGGUGAGUAACACGUGGGCAACCUGCCCUGUAGACGGGGAUAACACCGAGAAAUCGGUGCUAAUACCGGAUAACACGAAAUGUCGCAUGACGUUUCGUUGAAAGACGGCGCAAGCUGUCGCUACAGGAUGGGCCCGCGGCGCAUUAGCUAGUUGGUGAGGUAACGGCUCACCAAGGCGACGAUGCGUAGCCGACCUGAGAGGGUGAUCGGCCACACCGGGACUGAGACACGGCCCAGACUCCUACGGGAGGCAGCAGUAGGGAAUCUUCCGCAAUGGACGAAAGUCUGACGGAGCAACGCCGCGUGAGCGAAGAAGGCCUUCGGGUCGUAAGGCUCUGUUGUUAGGGAAGAACAAGUAACGCAGUAACUGGCGUUACCGUGACGGUACCUAACGAGAAAGCCACGGCUAACUACGUG